rnacentral:rRNA from 1 species
GACGAACGCUGGCGGCGUGCUUAACGCAUGCAAGUCGAACGAGGUCCAUCCAGCUUGCUGGUGAAGACCGAGUGGCGAACGGGUGAGUAACACGUGAGGAACCCACCCCCGGAGACCGGGAUAACCCUCCGAAAGGAGGGCUAAUACCGGAUGUCGUCGGAGGAUCGCAUGUUCUUCCGACGAAAUGGAUUCCGCUCCGG